rnacentral:rRNA from 1 species
GUGCCAGCCGCCGCGGUAAUACGUAAGGACCGAGCGUUGUCCGGAAUCAUUGGGCGUAAAGGGUACGUAGGCGGCUAGAAAAGUUAGAAGUCAAAGGCUAUAGCUCAACUAUAGUAAGCUUCUAAAACUAUUUAGCUUGAGAGAUGGAAGGGAAAGUGGAAUUCCUAGUGUAGCGGUGGAAUGCGCAGAUAUUAGGAGGAAUACCGGUGGCGAAGGCGACUUUCUGGCCAUUUUCUGACGCUGAGGUACGAAAGCGUGGUAGCAAACAGGAUUAGAUA